CGUCAAGUCAGCAUGGCCUUUAUGUCUGGGGCUACACACGUGCUACAAUGGCAGAUACAAACCGUCGCGAGACCGCAAGGUGGAGCUAAUCGGAUAAAGUCUGUCUCAGUUCGGAUUGCAGGCUGCAACUCGCCUGCAUGAAGUUGGAAUCGCUAGUAAUCGCGGAUCAGCACGCCGCGGUGAAUACGUUCCCGGGCCUU
rnacentral:rRNA from 1 species